GAUGAACGCUGGCGGCGUGCCUAAUACAUGCAAGUCGAGCGAACGGACGAGAAGCUUGCUUCUCUGAUGUUAGCGGCGGACGGGUGAGUAACACGUGGAUAACCUACCUAUAAGACUGGGAUAACUUCGGGAAACCGGAGCUAAUACCGGAUGAUAUUUUGAACCCCAUGGUUCAAAAGUGAAAGACGGUCUUGCUGUCACUUAUAGAUGGAUCCGCGCUGCAUUAGCUAGUUGGUAAGGUAACGGCUUACCAAGGCAACGAUGCAUAGCCGACCUGAGAGGGUGAUCAGCCACACUGGAACUGAGACACGGUCCAGACUCCUACGGGAGGCAGCAGUAGGGAAUUUUCCGCAAUGGGCGAAAGCCUGACGGAGCAACGCCGCGUGAGUGAUGAAGGUCUUCGGAUCGUAAAACUCUGUUAUUAGGGAAGAACAUAUGUGUAAGUAACUGUGCACAUCUUGACGGUACCGAAUCAGAAAGCCACGGCUAACUACGUG
rnacentral:rRNA from 1 species